rnacentral:rRNA from 1 species
AAUCGAUGAUCCUCGAUAUACCUUACCAUUUUUUGCUUUCUCAGCUUGUAUACCUCCGUCGCAAACCUACCACUUGAGUGCCCCUAAGUAGGUUCAACUGGGCCUCUAACACGCCAAUACGUCAGGUCAAGGUGCAGCCCAUAAAAUGGGAAGUAAUGGGCUACAAUUUCUAAGAUAGAACAAACGAAAAACUACAUGAAACAUAGUCAUGAAGGCGGAUUUAGCAGUAAAAGAAGAACAAUAAGCUUCUUUUAACAAGGCUCUGGGACGUGUACAAACCGCCCGUCACCCUCUUCAAUAAACCCCCCCCCCCCCCCGCUCUAUAACACCCCCCCCAACACCUUAGAAGAGGUAAGUCGUAACAUGGUAAGUGUACUGGAAAGUGCACUUGGAAAACAAAGUAUAGCUUAAUUAAAGCAUUUCGCUUACACCGAAAAAAUAUCUAUUAACACAGAUUACUUUGAGCCCUAAAUCUAGCC